UACGUAGGGCGCAAGCGUUAUCCGGAAUUAUUGGGCGUAAAGGGCGCGUAGGUGGCGCGGUAAGCGUGCGGUGAAAGCCUGGGGCUCAACCCCGGGUCGGCCGUGCGAACUGCUGGGCUUGAGCACUGUAGAGGCAGGCGGAAUUCCGGGUGUAGCGGUGGAAUGCGUAGAGAUCCGGAAGAACACCAGUGGCGAAGGCGACACGCUGGGCCGUACCUGACACUGAUGCGCGACAGCAUGGGGAGCAAACAGG
rnacentral:rRNA from 1 species